AGUGGCGCACGGGUGAGUAACGCGUAGAUAAUCUACCUGAUGAUCCGGGAUAACACUUCGAAAGGGGUGCUAAUACCUGAUAAGCCCACGGGGUCUUCGGACUCUGCGGGAAAAGGGGGGGACCUUUACCGGCCUUCCGUCAUCAGAUGAGUCUGCGUACCAUUAGCUAGUUGGUAGGGUAAAGGCCUACCAAGGCGACGAUGGUUAGCUGGUCUGAGAGGAUGAUCAGCCACACUGGAACUGAGACACGGUCCAGACUCCUACGGGAGGCAGCAGUGGGGAAUUUUGCGCAAUGGGGGAAACCCUGACGCAGCAACGCCGCGUGAGUGAUGAAGGCCCUUGGGUCGUAAAGCUCUGACAGAGGGAAAGAAGUGUAGAGUGGCUAAUAUCCACAUUACUUGACGGUACCCUCAAAGGAAGCACCGGCUAACUCCGUGCCAGCAGCCGCGGUAAUACGGGGGGUGCAAGCGUUGUUCGGAUUUAUUGGGCGUAAAGCGCGUGUAGGCGGUUUUAUAAGUCUGAUGUGAAAGCCCUGGGCUCAACCCGGGAAGUGCAUUGGAUACUGUAAGACUUGAAUACGGGAGAGGGCAGUGGAAUUCCUAGUGUAGGAGUGAAAUCCGUAGAUAUUAGGAGGAACACCGGUGGCGAAGGCGGCUGCCUGGACCGAUAUUGACGCUGAGACGCGAAAGCGUGGGUAGCAAACAGGAUUAGAUACCCUGGUAGUCCACGCCGUAAACGAUGAGAACUAGGUGUUGCGGGUAUUGACCCCUGCAGUGCCGUAGCUAACGCAUUAA
rnacentral:rRNA from 1 species